GAUGAACGCUAGCGGCAGGCUUAAUACAUGCAAGUCGUGGGGCAGCAUGGUGUAGCAAUACAUUGAUGGCGACCGGCAAACGGGUGCGGAACACGUACACAACCUUCCUUUUAGUGGGGAAUAGCCCAGAGAAAUUUGGAUUAAUACCCCAUAACAUAUAGAGAUGGCAUCAUCUUAAUAUUAAAGCUUCGGCGCUAGAAGAUGGGUGUGCGGCUGAUUAGGUAGUUGGCGGGGUAACGGCCCACCAAGCCUACGAUCAGUAGCUGAUGUGAGAGCAUGAUCAGCCACACGGGCACUGAGACACGGGCCCGACUCCUACGGGAGGCAGCAGUAAGGAAUAUUGGACAAUGGACGAAAGUCUGAUCCAGCCAUGCCGCGUGAAGGAUUAAGGUCCUCUGGAUUGUAAACUUCUUUUAUUUGGGACGAAAAAAGAUCAUUCUUGAUCACUUGACGGUACCAGAUGAAUAAGCACCGGCUAACUCCGUGCCAGCAGCCGCUGUAAGAC
rnacentral:rRNA from 1 species